UACGAAGGGGGCUAGCGUUGCUCGGAAUCACUGGGCGUAAAGCGCACGUAGGCGGAUUGCUAAGUCAGGGGUGAAAUCCUGGAGCUCAACUCCAGAACUGCCUUUGAUACUGGCGAUCUUGAGUCCGGGGGAGGUGAGUGGAACUGCGAGUGUAGAGGUGAAAUUCGUAGAUAUUCGCAAGAACACCAGUGGCGAAGGCGGCUCACUGGCCCGGUACUGACGCUGAGGUGCGAAAGCGUGGGAGCAACAGGG
rnacentral:rRNA from 1 species